GUUCCCAGUGAUGGUUCAAAAUAAUUAUGCUAAUGUAUAUCUGAUUGUAUGACUGAAAGUUUACUUUCUUCUGAGGGAACU